rnacentral:rRNA from 1 species
UACGUAGGGGGCAAGCGUUGUCCGGAUUUACUGGGCGUAAAAGGUUCGUAGGUGGCUCGCCCAGUCGGGCGUGAAAUCUCCUGGCUUAACUAGGAGAGGUCGUCCGAUACUAGCGGGCUCGAGGCCGGUAGAGGGAAGCGGAAUUCCGGGUGUAGUGGUGGAAUACGUAGAUAUCCGGAGGAACACCAGUGGCGAAGGCGGCUUCCUGGACCGGUUCUGACACUGAGGAACGAAAGCGUGGGGAGCGAUCCGG